CCUACGGGUGGCAGCAGUGGGGAAUAUUGCACAAUGGGCGAAACCCUGAUGCAGCGACGCCGCGUGAGUGAGGAAGUAUUUCGGUAUGUUAAGCUCUAUCAGCAGGGAAGAAAAUGACGGUACCUUACUAAGAAGCCCCGUCUAACGACGUUCCAGCAGCCGAAGUAAUACGUAGGGGGCACGCGUUAUCCGGAUUUACUGGGGGUAAAGGGAGCGUAGACGGCUAAUGAAGUCAGAAGUGAAAACCCAGGGCUCAACCUCGGGACUGCUUUUGAAACUGAGUAGCUAGAGUGCGGGAGAGGUAAGCGGAAUUCGUGGUGUAGCGGUGAAAUGCAUAGAUAUUAGGAGGAACACCGGUGGCGAAGGCGGCUUACUGGACUAUAACUGACGUUGAGGCUCGAAAGCGUGGGGAGCAAACAGGAUUAGAUACCCGUGUAGUC
rnacentral:rRNA from 1 species